rnacentral:tRNA from 1 species
GAUUAUUUAGUUUAUAUACAUAAAACAAAUGUUUUGAAAACAUUAAAAAAGAAGAUUUUCUUAAUAAUCG